AGUGGAAUUACCGGAUCAUAUGGUAAUUCUAUUUUUAAUUUAUUGAGGAACUGCCAUACUGUUUUCCAUAGCAGCUCUGCCAUUUUACCUUCCCACCAGCAAU
rnacentral:pre_miRNA from 1 species